UACAGAGGGUGCAAGCGUUGUUCGGAAUUAUUGGGCGUAAAGCGCGUGUAGGCGGCUUUGCAAGUCGGGUGUGAAAGCCCUCAGCUUAACUGAGGAAGUGCGCCCGAAACUGCUUGGCUUGAGUACCGGAGAGGAUGGUGGAAUUCCCGAAGUAGAGGUGAAAUUCGUAGAUAUCAAGAGGAACACCUGAGGCGAAGGCGGGUUGCUAGGCUGACACUGACGCUGAAGCGCGAAAGCUAGGGUAGCAAACGGG
rnacentral:rRNA from 1 species